CCUACGGGAGGCAGCAGUGAGGAAUAUUGGUCAAUGGACGCAAGUCUGAACCAGCCAUGCCGCGUGCAGGAAGACGGCUCUAUGAGUUGUAAACUGCUUUUGUACGAGGGUAAACGCAGAUACGCGUAUCUGUCUGAAAGUAUCGUACGAAUAAGGAUCGGCUAACUCCGUGCCAGCAGCCGCGGCAAUACGGAGGAUUCAAGCGUUAUCCGGAUUUAUUGGGUUUAAAGGGUGCGUAGGCGGUCGGAUAAGUUAGAGGUGAAAUCCCGAGGCUCAACUUCGGAAUUGCCUCUGAUACUGUUCGGCGAGAGAGUAGUUGCGGUAGGCGGAAUGUAUGGUGUAGCGGUGAAAUGCUUAGAGAUCAUACAGAACACCGAUUGCGAAGGCAGCUUACCAAGCUACUUCUGACGUUGAGGCACGAAAGCGUGGGGAGCAAACAGGAUUAGAUACCCGGGUAGUC
rnacentral:rRNA from 1 species